rnacentral:lncRNA from 1 species
CCAGCUUCACCCCAUAAUUUUUUUUAAAAAAAUUUCAUUUUUUACAUUUAAAAAAAAUGCAAGUUUUUUUUUCCCAAAGAAAUGGAGAGUCCUGUGGCUGCUAUCCCGGCCUAAUGCCAGUUUUUAACCAUGUUGGGUUGUGCUGCAGGGAAAUGCCAGUUAGCCUGUUGCUUCUUUAACACAGCUGCCUGUGAACAAAGAAGCGCUGAUAGAUGUCUCCCGGUGGGGGUGCUGUUGGUAUUUGGAUCUGGGUAAAUCCUUGCUGUGCUGAAAUGUACCACAUGUUGCAAGAUGUUCAGUAUCCUGGGCUCCUGGUGACUCAACACCAGACAUUGUGAGAACCGGAAAAAAAGAAAAGAAAAGAAAAGAAAAGAAAAGAAAAGAAAAGAAAAGAAAAGAGAAGAAAAAAGCUUCCCGUUUGCCUGCAUAGAAGGAUAAACCCCUCACCUGAGUGCCACUGUCUCCUGCAACAAGGGUACAUGGGGGAACCUGCCUGUCUCUAAAUACCAUGUCUACUGCCUUGCACGUCUCUACCCACUUCUCUUUCAAAGCCUUCUGCUUAGAUGCAGCUUAAACUGGCCUGUUCCCUAGAAAAGAGCUUCCUAGGUAGUCUUGUCCAUUACGGUGGGCAGCGUGACAUGGCCUGAUAUUUCUGGAGGGUACACGAAGCAAGUCUUGUUCAUUACUUCUGUGUUACUUCAGAACUAGACUCCUGGUUGCCAGAACACAGUGUCUCUGAGUAAAACACUGGUCUUUGGAACUCAGCAUUGGAUUCUACCUGGUCAUACUGAAGACCGAGUUGCAAAAAGAGUCUCCCUUCCUCCUGUUGACAACGGAGUUAAUCCACACAAAAAGACACGGGGACUCCCUCGUGUAAACAUCCACACGGUUCCGCUUUCCUAAUAAGACGUGCAAAUAUGACAUGUUGGCAGGAACGUAGGUAAACUGGAUUGCAUUCAUGCUGUUCACACCACAGACGGGCAAAACGAAAUGAGUUUUCCCCCAGGUGUAGCUCGAUCAAGCUGUGCUAACCGUACAGAAAGACGCUCUUUACGCCACUGAAAUUAAAUAGUCAGUGGGUCUUGAAAAAUAUUUAGAUGAAUUGCAGCUAGCUGCAAGGAUGGAAUUAAUUCCUCCCAUUCUUCACAUUAAAAUUCUGAAGACUCCCCGCCCCUCCCCCUUCUUUUAAGCAUAGCAACUUGGAGUCAGUAAAGGUGGCCAUAGCGUAAACCUAUAGAUGGUGCUUUAAAACAAAAUCGUAUCUUUCUUAAUAGCAGUAUUUUUUAAAGCAGAGAAUAGACUGAAAGAAGUAAAUGCGGCAGAACGCUGUUCCACACUCAGGUAAAUUUUGUGGUUUAUUAAAAUGCCAAUAAUAUUUGUGCACUUGCCAGCGUCAGGGGCUUUUCCCUUAAUGGAUGCUCUCGGUGUGAUUUUUUUCCUCUUCUUUAACUGUAUCGUUACAUUGUUUAGAGAGCAUCCACCACCAGGAUUUGCCACCGUAGUGAUAACUAGCAUUAGGAAAGAAUUACCGAGAACUGAGGGUCAAACCACUUUCAUCACCUAAACGACAGGCACUAGUUCUUUAGUAUUUCUUCAGUGGCUUGGGUGUGCCCAUGUAUUCAAAGCAUUCCGCACGAAUUUUACCAGUUAAAUACCGGCUGAAAAGUCAGACCAGUCUCUCUCCGCACCUCCUCUCUCUGUAACAAUGUUUCGUUUUUGUUUUGUUUUUUUCCCAUAAUGAGCUGUCUGUGUUCUUUUGUUAUUUCAAACUUUGGUUCAAGUGGUAGCAAUGGUACACACUGUGAUGGUGGGGAGACUAGCUGGGUGAGUCUCUAGUGUGUGAUCUAAUCUUUACAUGGGUGUGCUAUCUGUGGGUGUUGAUAACUGGAACUGUACCCGGACAACACGACAGUUUCUCUCUCUUCCUGUUCCUGAUUCACUACUAUAUCAUAGUACGUGGGUAUGACCCCUGCGAGUAUCCACACCGAAGCCUAUGUAUUCCACAAUUGUAACCUGAAAGACCAUGCAUUAUCUUUUUUUAAUUCAUACUGGUGUUUGUGUUAUUUAAAGUGGAAAAUUAUACCCUAUCUAGUAGUAUAAUGUAAUAUAAUAGGAUACUCCGCUGUGCACAGUUCCAAGUGCCUUAGAACAUUGUUUAGCUUUCCUAAGUAUACGUAAAUGCAUAUAUGUGUGUAUAAAAUUGGGAAAUGUUACCUCAAUAAAGUCAUUGGGAAAUCCUA